UGAGUGAAGAAGGGUUUCGGCUCGUAAAACUCUGUUGUUGAAGAAGAACGUGCGUGAGAGUAACUGUUCACGCAGUGACGGUAUUCAACCAGAAAGUCACGGCUAACUACGUGCCAGCAGCCGCGGUAAUACGUAGGUGGCAAGCGUUAUCCGGAUUUAUUGGGCGUAAAGCGAGCGCAGGCGGUUUUCUAAGUCUGAUGUGAAAGCCUUCGGCUUAACCGGAGAAGGGCAUCGGAAACUGGAUAACUUGAGUGCAAGAGAGGACAGUGGAACUCCAUGUGUAGCGGUGGAAUGCGUAGAUAUAUGGAAGAACACCAGUGGCGAAGGCGGCUGUCUAGCUUGCAACUGACGCUGAGGCUCGAAAGCAUGGGUAGCGAACAGGAUUAGAUACCCUGGUAGUCCAUGCCGUAAACGAUGAGUGCUAGGUGUUGGAGGGUUUCCGCCCUUCAGUGCCGGAGCUAACGCAUUAAGCACUCCGCCUGGGGAGUACGACCGCAAGGUUGAAACUCAAAGGAAUUGACGGGGGCCCGCACAAGCGGUGGAGCAUGUGGUUUAAUUCGAAGCUACGCGAAGAACCUUACCAGGUCUUGACAUCUUGCGCCAACCUCAGAGAUGAGGCGUUCC
rnacentral:rRNA from 2 species